AGUUAGUUCCACACCACCAGACACAUUCCCUACAAUAAGGUGUAAUAUGCUAAGAUAACCGGCCACUGAAUCCUGAAUGGCCACAGAUUAUCCAUAAUGUUUUAGUACGUACGAAGAGUGAAUAAAAAAAUGUAAAACAUUUUUUAAAAAAAAAAUUUUUGUUCAAAGACAAUCUUGAAAAUUUACAUUUCGAGCUGUUGAACGAAACUUGCAUUCUAAA